rnacentral:rRNA from 1 species
CUCCUACGGGAGGCAGCAGUAAGGAAUAUUGGUCAAUGGACGCAAGUCUGAACCAGCCAUGCCGCGUGAAGGAUGAAGGCCCUCUGGGUUGUAAACUUCUUUUAUCUGGGACGAAAAAAGGGGAUUACUUCCUCACUUGACGGUACCAGAGGAAUAAGCACCGGCUAACUCCGUGCCCAGCAGCAGCCGCGGUAAUAC